rnacentral:lncRNA from 1 species
UUCAUAUAAUGAAACUCUUUUUAAUCACUUAACUUAAAACACUUUCGUAGAUUAAAAUCGUUGGUGGUGAAUCUUCAUAUCAACAAAGUCCUAGUGGGUCUAUGUUUUCGUACUUGAGAUUUUCUGAAAACGUAUUGCGGAUAUAGUAUGACAAAUUCUCAUGGUCUAAAAAUUUAUGGUGUUCCCAUGUCUUUCAGAAAGAAAAAAAAAAAGAUAUAUUUCGCAGCUUAAGUGGUGAAGCC